rnacentral:rRNA from 1 species
AGAGUUUGAUCCUGGCUCAGAUUGAACGCUGGCGGCAUGCCUUACACAUGCAAGUCGAACGGCAGCACGGGGGCAACCCUGGUGGCGAGUGGCGAACGGGUGAGUAAUACAUCGGAACGUGUCCUGUAGUGGGGAUAGCCCGGCGAAAGCCGGAUUAAUACCGCAUACGCUCUACGGAGGAAAGGGGGGGAUCUUAGGACCUCCCGCUACAGGGGCGGCCGAUGGCAGAUUAGCUAGUUGGUGGGGUAAAGGCCUACCAAGGCGACGAUCUGUAGCUGGUCUGAGAGGACGACCAGCCACACUGGGACUGAGACACGGCCCAGACUCCUACGGGAGGCAGCAGUGGGGAAUUUUGGACAAUGGGGGCAACCCUGAUCCAGCAAUGCCGCGUGUGUGAAGAAGGCCUUCGGGUUGUAAAGCACUUUUGUCCGGAAAGAAACGCCGUGGUUAAUACCCGUGGCGGAUGACGGUACCGGAAGAAUAAGCACCGGCUAACUACGUG